rnacentral:rRNA from 1 species
GACGAACGCUGGCGGCGUGCUUAACACAUGCAAGUCGAACGGAAAGGCCCUGCUUUUGUGGGGUGCUCGAGUGGCGAACGGGUGAGUAACACGUGAGUAACCUGCCCUUGACUUUGGGAUAACUUCAGGAAACUGGGGCUAAUACCGGAUAGGAGCUCCUGCUGCAUGGUGGGGGUUGGAAAGUUUCGGCGGUUGGGGAUGGACUCGCGGCUUAUCAGCUUGUUGGUGGGGUAGUGGCUUACCAAGGCUUUGACGGGUAGCCGGCCUGAGAGGGUGACCGGCCACAUUGGGACUGAGAUACGGCGCAGACUCCUACGGGAGGCAGCAGUGGGGAAUAUUGCACAAUGGGCGGAAGCCUGAUGCAGCAACGCCGCGUGCGGGAUGACGGCCUUCGGGUUGUAAACCGCUUUCGCCUGUGACGAAGCGUGAGUGGCGGUAAUGGGUAAAGAAGCACCGGCUAACUACGUG